rnacentral:ribozyme from 1 species
UUUUUUUUUUUUUUUUUUUUUUUUUUUUUUUUCUACUA